GAAUUAUAACAUUAUGACAUCAUUUUCUAGGAACAAUGAUUCUGAGAACUUUCUAACAGAACUGUAUGUAAUUGUUUUUUGUUUCAGAGAACUGUAUGUAAACUGUAUAUAAUGUAAAUGAUGCAUUUUUCCCACAAAGCAACAACUGUGAAAUAUCUUCACUUAAGGCUGGAGAUAAACUUGCUUUUUAACCAUGCGUUCGCGUGGACAACCGGCUGCAUCAGAAGGGAAUUGUUCACGUACUUGCCUAUGUACUUAGCGUGUUUCUGGAGGAUUCCACUAGAGGGCGCACCAGAGAACUCAGAAGACAAUCUGUCAGCAGCUAUUUUGACAAGCAUAUUUGUCAUUUUUGUUGUGUAGUGGCAAAGACACAUCGUACAGAUGCGGGUAAUUGCGGAUUUGGUGUAUUAGCUUGUCUUCAAAACUUUCCGCCAUUGUUGUUGCUGCUGACGUGCCUACUGUCUCCUGACCCCGUCACAUCCCCAUACUGCCCCUACUGUUCAUGUGCGUUUCGCAUCUUGCGGAUGCGUAACGUCAAUUUCUGAGGAUGUGCACGACCAACGCUCCAAACGGACGCAGGAUAGGCGAGGCAGCCAUCAUGCGCACGCGAACACGUAGUUAAAAGCAAGUAUAGCUCCUGCUUAACUCAGGUCUUUCAGGUAAUGCGCUACAUAUUUACUCCACUACACUUCAUUGGCCUUAUAUUUUACUCCACAACACCAUCCUGACACUGUUUCCAUUUGCCUUGAUCAGAAAAGGUUUUGCAGAGUAAGCAUGUUUGACAUGUUGUGGAGUUUAUAUUGUUUACAUCUCCGUGCCGUCUGCCUUGGUGAUGUUUUUUUCUGCUGUUCAAGUGGCAGGUUCUUACAGUGUAUGUAGCUUAGGUCUUUUUUGUUUAAUUGUCUGAGUUUUGUCCUCUUCUGGUUCAGUGGCUACACUGAGGAAGGUGUCGUAGAAACGGUUUCAGUCAUCUGGAGACUGUUUUCAGAAUCAAGACGUUUCGGCUCCCAUCCGGAAGGCAUUCUCAAUUGUGAAAAAUGGGCCGGGAACUCAGAAAUUUAAGCUACUCCGUGUUACUUCAGCCCCGCCCUCAGGAAGGAGUCUUCCUGAGUAUCUGUUGAUUAGCUAGUUUCACCUGAAACUGACCUAAUAGUUUCCAUGAUGGCCCAGUAAUCAGUAAUCAGGCCUAUUGUUUUCUGGCUGCACCUCCCUCAUCACUGUUAAGUACCUGAUUAGCAUGUGAUUGGCGUGACCAAGGUGCCAAUACACUGUGGUAAACUUUGGGCAGAUUGAAUCUCAGACCACCAUUUCUGUUCAAAGAGGGGUUUUCUUUUGAAAAAUGGACCGGGAACUCUUCUCUGUGUUACUAAAAGAAAACCCCUCUGAACAGAAAUGGUGGUCUGAGCUGUGUGUACAGAAAUGACUGGUAUAAACAACCCUUUAACAGCAUAAACAAUCAUUGAAACACGCACUAUGUGGUGUUAGCCAAUGUAUUAAAAUAUCUCUCAGUCAUUCUGGGAGUUAUAUAUUUGUAUUGUAUUAAUUUUAUUAAUUUAAUUUUGUUUUAUUUAUUUUAUUUUAUUUUUAUUGUAUUAAUUAGUUAAUCAAUUUUGUUUUAUUUUUAUCAAUUCAUUUGUGGUUAUUGAUUCAUUUCUCAGUAUUUUUAUUUGACCUCAGUAUUUGGGAAAUCACGGCUACAGCUGUUCUUCGGAUGUGAGAGGACCGUGUUUCAUAAAGUCUUCCAGCAGAUGGCAGCAAGAAACAGCCAUCUACCUCACACGUGUAGCAAGAAGAAAGAUGUAAAGUAUCAUUUAUGCUACGCUUAAGCAAUGUGUAAUUUGAGUAUCAUGUAUGAAGAAGCACUAAAUACUAAAAAACAUUCUAUGUCAUGUCUUUAUAGCGACCAGGCAUGAUUACAUUUCACAUCGUGCUGUGUGUGUGCUGCAGCAGCUCUGAGCCCGGGUGGAGAUUGUACUGUGGGUGGCAGCAAAGACAAGGACAUACUGCUGUCCUGCACUGGCUCACAUGGUUCUCAUCUGUCUCCUGCAGAUGUUUGUGGACUGCUGAGCCAGUGUCAUGUACAGUACAGUGUCUGUUUUAACAUUAGGAAACCAUUAGCCCAAAACGAUUACCUGCCUUCUAUCUAUCUCUCCAGCUAUUUGUCUCUGAAUACACCCACUUAUUCCUUUAUUCACACCUCUCAGCUGCUAACACCUUGACAACAGGUGGUCAGAUGAAAAGAGGCAUUUCUAAGGUGCUGUCAUCUUGUUGGAUGAAGCUUUUUCGCUAAUAGCAUUAGCCUGGGUCACUGGUGUUUAUCAUGUCCUUGAAGUUGUUAAAUUCAGAAAUGUUUUAAAACUUUGUGUUCUUCUCUCUCACUGUGACUGCUGUUCAUUGGUGCACAAAACCCUGAUAAAUCUGGCUUCUAUGGCUGCCAGUAGUGCACUGUCAACUCCCAUGAUCCUAAAUAGCCAUAGUCAUAACAAUGCCUACGACCAGCCACUGCAAUUCACAGCCAUAAAGCCCCCCUGGCGCGCUCAAUUUAUCAUACAUUUCGCACUUUCACACUGUUCACAGAAAGACCUUCGUGUGGCAUUAGUGUUAGUUUGUGAAGAGGCCCUCUGACACCCAGCCUGAUGCACCUUCCACGGCUCGCAUUCAUGCCCAACCUGAAGGGAGAGGCGCGAGGAGAGGACCCCGGCUCACAAAUGUGGACAAUUUGGUUUGCGGCUGAUACCCGGCGCUCUGAAUAAACGAUCUAAAUGCUCGCCAGAGAUUGUUUUGCCACUGCCGCCCCUCAGCGAUGACACAAGGGGGGGCAACACACCCCCUGUGGCCUUGUGAUGGCCAGCCAGGAUGAAUAUGAGGAAAUGAGGCAGACAUCUAGUAAAUAAUAGUUGCCAUUGUGCCCCUCGGCAAGUGGUUGGGCCGGGGGUGGGCUGGAGGGGAGGGGGGGCUCCGCAUGAUAUGCCAGGGCCUGACAUGGCACCCAGACCCCGAGCUGUCACCCCUGCGGAAACAUCACCCUCGCCUCCACAAUUUGUGCACUUAACACUUCAGUUGGCACAUGACAGGUGCUUAUUUCCCCGUACUGGCUUUCCCUCCUCGUAGUGACGCCUCUGAGCCCAGGGCACACACGGCAUCUGGCAUGGAUGUCUGUCCACGAUGCUGCUCGUUGCAAAAGUGUGUGACUGCACCAGUCAUACUGUUCACAUCCGCUCGCACUGGAUUUACAGCCCACUGAGCAUACAGUGUGUGUGUGUGUGUGUGUGUGUGUGUGUGCGCGAGGGACAGAAGAGUCAUGUGUCCGAGGCCAGACUGGGAUAAUAAUUCAGGCUGGGAAAUUGGUCAGCCCAGACCAAUUUCCACACAUUCACAACAGACCAUGUAUACUGUAACUGUUUUGUUGAAAGAUUUUUUUCAUUGCCAGUAGCACAUCUUUUAGUCUUAUUACUACACACCUCGAACUACUUCAAACAGCCAAUUAUCUUCAGUUUCAAGAGUUAGUCAAUUGCUCUUCCAUACAGACUACAGCAAUAAAUUCAUAUAUAGAAUUUUCGUACACUUUUGGGGUGUGUGUUUUGCACCGGCAUUUCCUCGGAGCUUGACUGGACUUAUGCUGAUCAUCGUGCAGCUCUGAGUAACUGCAGGUACUUCCACCUGACAGAAAAGUACAGAAGACUCAUCUGAAUGUUUUUCGGAACUACUUUUGCAUGACCUUGCAUUAAGUUUUGCGUUCCCCCCGAUCCACCGGAACAGUUAGUGUGUCUGUCCAGUUAUCCAAUAAACCGUCAGCUUAGGGAAACGCACUGCAGAUACUACAGAAAGGUGAUUAUGUGUCACUUUACAUGAUGAAUUUAUUGCUUAUUAAUCCUUUCAGAAGGCCGAGCUCCAACAGGCAGCUGCUCUGCCUGGCUGUGCUGGUUGAAGCUGUGGCUGUACUGUACUACACCUAUUAACAUAAGCCAAGAAAGCAUCGUUAAACUACAUACCAUUUGAACCCGUGGUGCUUCUAUGAGAUAUGACAGAUGUGUUACCAAUAAACCACAGGAGUUCAUGAAUAUAGUAGCUUCCCUGCAACACUCAGCCAACACAACCACGUCAAUUCACUGCACACACACAACCCCUGCAUGUAGUUAGUGAUACAGCCAUUAUAAACUAAUGUGUCACAGCCAGAAUCAUAACAACCAAACCACAGCCGUGGCUACAGUCAUAAUCACAGCUACAGUCUGUCUCAGUCAGUCUCUGCAGCGGGCGCUGAGAGAGCUGGCUGAACUAGCUCCACUAGCUAUCCAUCUAGCUGCCAUCAUACAAACUUGGGCCUCAGCAGCCACAGCUGAGGGUGCGUCCACUCAACCAGCGACGGUCUACUACAUAAUACACAAUACCAUAUCAUCAGCUUUUCUCUGUGGAUCAGAGGGAAUGCAAAAUGUAUUGCGAGGUAACGUAAAAGAAUUUCAGAAAAAAAAAUCCCACCGUGACCUUUCAGGGGCUCCGUAGAAAAGAAUACACAGGUCUAAUUUUUAAAAAAAUAUUAUCUCCAUGCCGCCUCUGCCCCGUGUUGUUUUUGCUUUUGUUUACACAUUAUAUUUUGCAUUUUUAACACUGGCCUGACACUCCGAGCCAAUCAGCCGACCGAGCCACCAGGAAUUCUCCCAGUGCUCCUGAUGGCCAGUCCAGGCCUGCAUGUGUCCGUGGAGGCACUGAGAGUCUCAUCAUGUCUGUGUCCGGUCACGUUAGUAUGAAGGACAGUACUUCUACCUCUGCCUCCAAUACUCCACGGACUCACCCACGACUCUUCGUCCCGAUUCCAGUAAUCUCCAGUUCCCCGAGUGUGUCGCUCCAGCUCUGGCUCCUGUGUGUCUCCAGUCUCCCGUGUGUGUCGCUCUGGUUCCCGUUCCCGUGUUCCUCUGUUCAACUCCAGAACUCUUCUGCCAUCAUCUAAAUAAGGGACGGUAUCACUAACCCCUCUCAUCCAUUCAUAUUACCUUUGUGUGUCAAUAAACUCUCUCAGUCUCUU